AGUUAACUACCCUUUCUGUAAAGAAGUGUUUCCUAAUAUCCAACCUAAACUUGCCCUGGCGCAACUUGAGGCCAUAAAUUCUUUAAAUCCACAAUAAAGAUGAUACAACAUGUUUACAGUUUUUAAAAUGCAUUACUGAUUCUGCAGGCACCAUUAAAAACUCUGCAUUCAUAAUGCACAGUAAUGUGGUACCACAACAACUUUGCAUUUUGAGCAUGCUAAUAUGCUACAUUUACUAGGUAUCUGGAAUGGAAAAUGCAUGGAUUUUUGAUGGUUAUUGCUGUACCUAACUUCUACUCUCUCUCUUUCCAGAUCACAGCAUACACAAAGUAACCUACUUAGAUUCAGUUCUACUGUAAGCUGAUUUAUUUUUUUUUCCUUUCAGAUCCAUUUAACCCAGAUUCUUAUGGUUCUUACUGCAAAUCUUGGCACUAGAUUAGUAUCUAUCAUACUGGUAACCACUGGAAAGUUUGCAUGGUUGGUAUGUUGUCCUUCUCUUUGACUUGCAUGGCUAGAUUUCUCCGUAGGAUCUUCAAAAUUCAGUAGCUUUCAAUUUAUUCUGCUGAUUCACAUAAAGAAAGCAGGCUUUAUUAUUAUCUAUUCAUUAUGUUUCCAGCCAUAGUUCAUCCUAGCUUUGGAGUUCCCAUAUUCACGUUAAUUUGCUGCGUUGGCAAGCAUGUAGCCCCCUUAAAUCCAGGUUUACAAACCAUUUAUUAGAAUAAUUCAUAAUUAAUUGAGUUUCUAAUGUGCCUUUUGGGCACAACGCCCCUGGAUGCACAGCAUUAAAAGUUCUAUUAAAGUGUGGCCUGAUCAACUGAUUAAUAGAUUUUUAUUUUUAUAGGAACCUUUUGCAUAUGUGAGUGUAAUUAUAUUCUGUCACUUUCAGGAAAAAAUGAAGCUAUUCAGGCAGACGAAUGCUUUUGUCUUGUUACUUAAUUAAUUUAAUGUUGUGUGAAAAGGCCAGAUUUACAGUUCUGCAGAAGCAAGUUCUCUUUAUUCACAGCAAUGAACUGACCCCUUCAGGUUCCCAUAACUCUCUUCUGCUUACCCGUGUGCUACAUACAGUCUGAAGCAGAUUCAGUUUAGAGGUAUGAAUUUACUGUAAAAUGCCAAAUUGUCUUGAAUGUAACUGAACGUAACUAACAUUGUUAUUUUCAAGCUUUUUUCUUCUUUCCAAAAUCUUUUGUUUUCUACAGUCUACAAACAAUAUGGAAUACUUUCCAAAUUCCAAUAUGGACAUUCUGUUUAUACUUUGCAGUGCACAUAAGAUAUAAAAGAAGAUGUGAGCUCUAGCUGUUUUGCAGGAAAGGAGAUUGAACAAGUCUCUCCUAAUAUUUAUUUGCUAAAAAGGUGGGUGUAAUUUUAGAAAAUCUUUGAAAGUUUAUUUACUGGCAUGUCUAGGAUAGAGCUCCCUGGAAUCUCCCAGUAUUUAUAUACUAGAUGUAGCAUCUCUCAAUAUUGACAUCUCUCAAUAUUCCCAGAAUACCUUCUACCAGUAAAUAUGUUUCGAUUUGUAAAGCAUGAGUACCUAGAAGAAAAAGAAGUACUUGAUACUUUUAAAAAAUGAAAAACAAAACAAAAAGCAACAUCUUUGAUACUUAUGAAAGUACUUUUAUAAGUAUUUAAUACUUUCUGAAAGUUUUAUCACUGCAUCUUGUGGCAUACCUUAGGUUUUUGUUGUAAUCAGCUCCUCUUCCAAGAAUGGAUUUUGUUAUUGGCUUGAAACACUCCCUAAAUUCUAUUUCUGUAUGUUUGAGACUGAUUACUGAUGCAAGAUAGUUCUUCACCAACUUCUUUUCUCUUUCUAGGACUCUGUUGAACAGAAAUGCAUAUGUGUAAAGCUGGUAUUGGUAUUAAGGUUUCACUGUUUCAGUCUUCUAUAAGGAAUCCCAUCUCAAGUUUUGAGGACAUUUCUCUUCCUAAGAGAUUGUUUUUACUCUCUACAUUGUAGGCUGUGAUUAUUUGUACUGAAUGCAGAAUGUGAAGGGGCUGCCAACAGAGUAAAAUUUCAAUGAAAAAGGAUUUUCUUUUUACCCCCCUCAAACACUGAAUGGUUAAGAUGCUUUUCCUAACAGUGACUGGGGGAAGGUAAGCCAGCCCUAAAAGUACUCACUUUGGAGAGUAACCUUUGAGACUUUUACUUCUGUACUGACUGGAAUUCUUGCUAUCUCCUUCAAAAGGAAGCUUUCCAAAGAAGUACAAAAUUGAUACUAGUGUAGAAGAAUAUGCUGAGAAAAUAAAAUUGUUUGCAACAGUAAUGUAUAUAUAAUAUAUAUCACUAGCUUUAAAAACUUUCAAAGAUCAGCUGCAUUGCUGUAUUGUAGAGUGAAAAAUGCCUUUAGUAUUUACAGGCAGUAUAAACCCAUCUCUACUAUACGCUGCAAAAUAACUCUCAUUAUGAAGAUAAGCCCUCGUAAUGAAAGAUUUGGAUUUAAGUGAACAAACAGGAAAGUUUUAACUUGAAAUGGUGUCUACUUCUAAAAAGGUAUAUUUCAAAUAUGUCUGUUCAGUCCUGGAAAUGCCUUUGUAGCAGAACAUUGUGGAAGAUCUUUCAGCUGUUACUGUGCUUCACCACAGUCCUAACCCUUCCUGUAUUUGCAGUAUCAAAACUCACACUCCUUCACCUCUCCUGCAUAUCACAAGCAGUAGUAAUUCUUAUCUGUAACUCUGCUUUUUCAACACAGUGUUUUGAUCUUGUCUUGGAGUAGUUUCUAAGGUAACAUUCCAGUACACCUGAUGCAUCUUUGUCAGAACACCUAAAUCUCUGUCUUUAGUAUCUCUUGUAUCUAGAUCUCUCUUGCAUGAAAAUAGACAGACAUCAGAAAAUUCCUAUGGUGCUUUUGAAAUGUGCUAAGUCUGAAAUAAAAAAUAGUAAUUCUAAGAAAUGUUAGCAAAUUUUUGUCCUGAGCUACUGUCUUUACAUUCUCUCAUUUUAUUUUUCCAUUACUACUACAUCAAUCAAUUCUUUUUCUUCAUAAAUAUAUAUUUUAGUAUUGUACAGGUCAGGAUGGAGAGUCCAUUUUUUUGUCCGUUUAGGAUCACAGUUACUCAAACUGAUAUAUCAACCUCAUCAUUUUAAGCAGUUUUUAAAUAAAAUUGAAGAUGGUAAGUAAUGCUGCAAAAAGAAAAGCCCACAUAUGUUUAAAAUGUUCUCUCACAUUCUCCCUUGUUAUUUUCCCCGAGAAGAUUAAAUUAGUUUGGUACAGCUCUGGUUAUAAUGAUCUGAUUCCUGGUGCUAUUGUGAUUAAACUGGGUGCAUUAAAGUAAGCAAUGAUAAAUUAAAAGCACAGUAGAAAUCUUGAUGGGUUUGUGUAGAUGAGUAAUCUGAACUGGAAAUAAAAAUGCUCAUUAUUCUGUGCUAUAAAUGAACUUUUACAUUAUGAAUAGAAGAGGUAAAAUCAUGUGUGGUGCGGUGCUGCAUUAUAGAGAGGCUGAGUAUUAAUGCACAGACUACAGUCUUCCCUUAGAUUACUAAAGGCAAACACUAGCUUUCACAAUACCUCAGUAGCAUUUCUUUGUAUGUGCAAAAACAAAUGCAGCAGUACCCUUCCAGCUGAACACCCAGAUUUUCAUAAUUCUUUUAGAAAAUACUCAGUAAAUGCAUUCCUUUAAAGUGGUGACAGAAUAUACUGCCAUUUGUUUCAGUACAGAAUAGAAUAGUUAAACACAGAACUAGGAAUUCCUAAUAAUGUGGCUUUAUUCUAAAAAAGUUUUUAAGAUAUAAUCUGUGAUCUGUGCUUUAAUCUUCAUUCCUGUCUUCUUUCACAGAUUAAAAAGAAAGUGAAACUUGAGUGUAAUAAGACUUUUUUCUUGGUGAUAUAGUGUAGUGACAGUGUUUUGCUCAUGAGCUGUGCUUCCCAGAUUAAGUAACUUAAUCUGUGCUGUUUUGAAAUCCAAAUAAAAUGUCAGAAAUACAACACAGCAAAAUAAUUACAUAAAAACCCAAGGAAUCUAAAAGAAAUCUGUGCUUUUCAGUUAAAUGGUUCCACAUAGUAAAUGACAAGACUCUCCAUACAAAGUGUAAAGAUACAAUCAGCCUUUGUGAGAACAUUUUAUUUUAUUAUAUUCAGAAAUAGCACUUUCUAUUAUCUUGUUUCAUAAGUAGAGUUUCUCAUGAAAUUUCCAUUACUGCCCAGUAGGAACAAUAGAAUGAACUGUGUGGGUUGGGAUGCCUAUUGAUAAAAUAAAAAUAUGUUUGGGCCUAUUGAGUCAAAACUUUCCGAUCCCUAUUAGAUUUCAGAGGUCUGUUAUGUAGGACAUCAGUUGUGAACAAACUUAAGAUGAUUGUUUUGAGACUUUCUUUGAUGACUGCUGUGUGCUGAGCUUCAUAAAUCCUACACUCCAAACAAAUUAAUGAAAUAUCCCCCUUUCUCAAAUAUUCUUUACCUGAAAUAAAGUGAGUUUUUAAGAUUAAAACUCCCUUCUGCUGUUGAAUUGAUGAAGGGAAAUUAAAAGAAUAGUUUUAUCAUUCAUCUAUGCAACCUGAAGUGCCAAACUGAUAAAAAUGAGAUAAUUUUGCUUCUGAAAGAUUUGAUUAUGGAGCCAAGUGAAAGGAGUUCUCAUUUAACUCCUACUAUAAUUAGACUUCAGUGUUGAAAUGAACCAACCUAGAUAAUUAUCUGAACAGAGAACAACCCUGUCAGCUCUGAGUGCUGACAGCUGGUGCUCUGUGUUUGCCAACAUGCCCUGUUGUGUUAAAUUUAGUUACACAGAAAUAAUCUGUGUGUAUUGUAUUUGUUCUAAGAUUCUACUUUGCCUUGUAGAAGCAGCACUCGUGCAGUUCAGCCUUUCCUCAACUGAAUAAGCCAAUGACAGAGAAAGUAUUCUUUCCAAAGCUGACUAGUUGGCAAAUGUGAUCUAAUAAUUUGGUUCUAUUUCACAAAACUGACCCUCAUUUUAAAAAUCAUUCUCACGUGGGUGACAGCCAAAUUCUUACUUUGUCUGCUUUAUGGAACGAUUCCACUGAUCCUAAACUGCACAGGAUCUGAGACAGGCACCUUAUGAGUUCAUAUAUCGCAUUUAUAAGCAUCUAUAGAAACAGCAAAUUCUGAAAUACAGACAAUGCAGAAAGAUGUUCAUUGGACUGCAGAGACUGAGGCCUGCAGUCUUGAACUGCAAGUGGAAAGCAAGGUAUGUUCUGGCUUUUGCUCAUGUUCUGCUUCUCCCAGUUUAGCUGAAGCAUAAUAUAUUUGCUUCCAUCCUGCACAGUGAAAGAAGAAAUAUGAGCAAAGCCAGAGAAUAUACAUGGAAAUAUGUAAGUAUCCUGCUUUAAGGUCAGUAAUGCUGGAAUUGGCUUUACUAAUUGGUAUGAGGAAGACUGAAUGUAUUAAUCCAAACAUUCAUAUCAUAGAAUCACAGAAUCACAGAAUUGAAGGAACCGCUAGAGAUCAUCGAGUCCAACCCCCCUGCCGAAGCAGUUUCCCUACACCACAUCGCACAGGUCUUGGAGAACAGAAGAGGUGCCUGAAGACUGGAGGAUAGCCAGUGUCACUACAGAAAGGGCAAGAAGGAGGAUCUGGGAAACUACAGGACAGUCAGUCUCACCUCUGUUCCUGGGAAAGUGACAGAACAGCUUGUUCUGAAUGCUAUCUCCAAGCAAUUGGAAGAGAAGGUUAUCAGGAAUAGUCAACAUGGAUUCAUCAAGGGGAAAUCAGGCUCAACCAACCUCAUAGCCUUCUAUGAUGGCAUCUCUGGCUGGGUAGAUGAGAGGAGAGCAGUGGGUAUUGUCUAUGUUGACUUCAGCAAAGCUUUUGAUAUUGUCUCUCACGUCGUUCUGAUAACAAAGCUGAGAAAGUGUGGGAUAGAUGAGUGGACAGUGAGGUGGCUUGAGAACUGGCUGACUGGCUGAGCUCAGAGGGUGGUGAUCGAUGGUGCAGAGUCCAGUUGAAGACCUGUGACUAGCAGUGCUCCCCCAGGGGUCUGUGAUGGAUCUGGUCUUGUUCAAUAUCUUCAUCGAUGACCCUGAUGAGGAGUUAGUGUCUACUCUCACAAGUAUGUCAAUUAAACAAAGCUGGGAGGUAUGGCUGACACACCUGAUGGCUGUGAUACUAUUCAGUAAGACCUGGACAGGUUGGAGAGCUGGGCGGUGAGAAACCAGAUGGAGUUUAACAGAAGCAAGUGUAGAGUCUUGAACCUGGGAAGAAAUAAUCACAAGUGUCAGUGCAGGUUGGUUCGUGACCUGCAGGAGAGGAGCUCUGCAUAGAAGGACCUGGGGGUCCUGGUGCAUGAAAGGCUGGCCAUGAGCCAGCAGUGUGCCCUUGUAGCCGAGAAUGCUAAUGGGAUCCUGGGGUGCACUAAGAGGAGCGUGGCCAGCCAGUCAAGAGUUGAUCCUCCCCCUCUACUCUGCCCUGGUGAGGCCUCACUUGGAGUACUGCAUCCAUAUCUGGGCUCCCUGGUACAAAAAAGACAGGGAUCUCCUGGAAACAGUCCAGUGGAGGAUGAUAAAAGUGCCUGCACCACCUCCCCUAUGAGUGGGUCUGUUCAGCCUUGAGAAGACUGAGAGGGGAUGUGAUUAAUGUUUAUAAGUAUUAUAAGUGUGGGAGACAAAGGGACAUGACCAGCUUCUUUUUAGUAGUCUGUGGGAACAGGACAAAGGGAAAUGGCUGUUAACUGGAACAUAGGAAGUUAUGUGCCAAUAAGCAAAAGAUGGAGAGGGAUGUCUGCUUACUGCUGUUGAAGUGCUAGUGCUGAAGUUUAGAAGAUUUCUCUGCAUUGCAGUCCUUAACUUUUUUUAUAAUUUUAUAAUUUGUGUCAUUAUAAAUUAGUAAAUGGGUUGAGAACUGGUAUGUUGUGGAUACCCAUCAGUGAUGCACACCACCACUUGCUGAAGUUAUGCAGAGAUUGCCACUACUCAUAUGUGUGAGACUGAGAUGUGUUGGACCAUGUAGCAUUCAUCUUGACAAAUGUGGUUUUGAAUGUUAAGCAGAGGACCACGUAGUAAUACAAACAACCUCUAUGCAGUGAUGGUGUUCUCUUUCUGUGUUUUGUCAGGAUUUUAUGCUGGUUGGUACUUGCUGGAAUUUUUGGUGUUUCUUCUAUAUUUCCUUCACACAUGCAGUGGUAUUUGUGAACCUACACGAUUGUCAAAGGAGUGGGAUUUUUAUUUGGAAACUUGGACUGAAUUUUCAUUAUAGAUAAUUUGCUCAUUCUAUGUAUUGUGCAGCUUUUUUUUUCCCUUUUUUUUUCCCCCCCAAAUUAGCCUUGAAAUAGAAGUAGUUUAUCUCAAUAUGCUCUCAGGUCAGUGCACAAGUAACAUUAAAGACACAGAUCUGUAUUUUGAGUACAUGCAGUGUGCUGAAUAUAUCCUUACAGCACCUUUCAUCCUAAGAAUCAUUCAGAUCUUCUCAGAGAGGAGUGCCCUUAAAGCAGCAAUGUUGAGAGUACAUUGGUUUUGUACAGGCUUACAAUGUAGUGGCCUGCCAAAUAAUUCUUGGGAAGUGUUACUUUUUGAAAUGUAGCUCGAUGCCCUGCUGUGCUCUUGAAAUGUAACUGAUGAGUUACUGCUGUGGUGAUGCAUAUAGAUACUUCAUUCAACCACUGUGAUUACUUUAUGAAGUCCUUUAGACUUACCUGAUAAACAAUAAAAAUCAAUGAAAUUUCUUAUUACAUUGUCUGCAGCUGCUGAAAACUAUAUUAUAAGUUGCAUGAAUGGUAAGAGUUAUAUGUGACAGAAUUAACAUAUGUAGAAAUUCUGUGAAGUUUUCUUGUAUGGUUAAAAUAGUGUUCUUGCUGGAGAGGGAAAAAAAAAAACACAAAAAAACCAAAAAAAAAACCAGGCAGAAUAUUACAUAUUUAUCUUAGUUAUUGUGCUUCGGUCAGUAUGACUGGAAUUAGAUUCCCUUAGGA